rnacentral:rRNA from 1 species
GAUGAACGCUGGCGGCGUGCCUAACACAUGCAAGUCGAACGAAGCACCUUACCUGAUUCUUCGGAUGAAAGUUUGGUGACUGAGUGGCGGACGGGUGAGUAACGCGUGGGUAACCUGCCCUGUACAGGGGGAUAACAGCUGGAAACGGCUGCUAAUACCGCAUAAGCGCACGAGGAGACAUCUCCUUGUGUGAACAACUCCGGUGGUACAGGAUGGGCCCGCGUCUGAUUAGCUGGUUGGCAGGGUAACGGCCUACCAAGGCAACGAUCAGUAGCCGGUCUGAGAGGAUGAACGGACACAUUGGAACUGAGACACGGUCCAAACUCCUACGGGAGGCAGCAGUGGGGAAUAUUGCACAAUGGGGGAAACCCUGAUGCAGCAACGCCGCGUGAGUGAAGAAGUAUUUCGGUAUGUAAAGCUAUAUCAGCAGGGAAGAUAAUGACGGUACCUGACUAAGAAGCUCCGGCUAAAUACGUG